UACAGAGGUCCCAAGCGUUGUUCGGAUUCACUGGGCGUAAAGGGUGCGUAGGCGGUCGGGUAAGUCUGACGUGAAAUCUUCAAGCUCAACUUGGAAACUGCGUCCGAUACUAUUCGGCUAGAGGAAUGGAGGGGAGACUGGAAUACUUGGUGUAGCAGUGAAAUGCGUAGAUAUCGGAAGGAACACCUGUGGCGAAAGCGGCUCACUGGACCAUUACUGACGCUGAGGCGCGAAAGCUAGGGGAGCAAACAGG
rnacentral:rRNA from 1 species